rnacentral:rRNA from 1 species
GGCGAGUGAAAAGGGAUUAGCCCAGACUCGAAGCUCCUGCAUAGGCGCAGUGUGAGGUGUAAGACAGUAUGCCAAGGUGUAAUUGUUAUUGCUUUAAGUUUGCUGGAAUGCAAUGCCACACAGGGUGAUAGCCCCGUUAAAGCUGUAACUUGCCUACUAACUGGGUAUUGUCUUUUGAGUACAACUGUUUGAAAUUGCAUUUGGAAGUGGGUGGUAAACUCCAUCCAAGGCUAAAUACGAGCAUGAAUCUGAUAGUAAACAAGUACCGUGAGGGAAAGUUGAAAAGUACUUUGAAAAGAGAGUAAAAUAGUACGUGAAACCGUUAUGGGGAAAUCGGGUGGAAUACUAUUGGGCCAUAUUGUAUCUUGCUCUUGCAGCACUUGAUACUUUUUAAUGGACACAGCAGUUUUGCUAAUCACAAAUGGCAUUUGAGACUAGUUUAUAACAUUGUUAUUUACUGGUUCAAAUACUGGUGGUGUUGUUGCAGUGAUGUGUACAUCUGCUGAAUUCAGGGUUCCACCUGACCCGUCUUGAAACACGGACCAAGGAGUCUAAUGCAUGCGCAAGUCAUUGUGCUAUUAGAAAGCAUAAAGGCGGAAUGAAAGUAACAUUUCAAAGGCGAUGGACUCACAUAGUGAAUCAGGCAGCCUUGGGCGGCAAAACAAUUAUGUUUUGUCUGACUUUGAGUGCAUGUGUUAGGACCCGAAAGAUGGUGAUCUAUGCUAGGGGAGAGUGAAGCCACGGGAAACCAUGGUGGAAGCUCGAAGCGGUUCUAACGUGCAAAUUGAUCGCGUCACCUUGGUAUAGGGGCGAUAGACUAAUCGAACCAUCUAGUAGCUGGUUCCCUCCGAAGUUUCCCUCAGGAUAGCUGGCGCUCAUGGAAACAGUUUUAUCGGGUAAAGCGAAUGAUUAGAGGUAUUGGGGAUCGCGUUUCCUCAACCUAUUCUCAAACUUUAAAUUGGUAAGAAGCACUUGUUUCUUAACUGAACUUGUGCAGUUUGAAUGUGAGCUCCAAGUGGGCCGCUUUUGGUAAGCAGAACCGGCGAUGUGGGAUGAACCAAAAGUUUAGUUAAGACGCCAAACGUAGUGCUCAUGAGAUACCACAAAAGGUGUUGAUUGAUAUUGACAGCAGGACGGUGGCCAUGGAAGUUGGCAUCUGCUAAGGAGUGUGUAACAACUCACCUACCGAAUCAAUCAGCCCUGAAAAUUGAUGGCGCUAGAGCACUUGGUCUAUACUGAACUGUGACGUUUGUAUGGCCCGUCACAUGUAGGAGGGUACACUGGUUGCGUUGAAGUGUAUCUGCGUGAGCAGACAUGGAGCAGCCAGUGCAGCAGAUCUUGGUAGUAGUAGCAAGUACUCAAGUAAGAAUCUUGAGGGCCGAAGUGGGGAAGGUCUUCAUGUGAACAGCAAUUGUACAUGGGUUAGUCAGCCCUAAGCGACAGGUGAAAACCAGUGAAUUUGAGCAUUAGCUCUUUGUUGCAAAAGGGAAUGAGGUUAACAUUCCUCAACUUAGCUCAUAUGGUCAACGGCGGCAACGCAUGUGUGCUCUUGGGACGUUGGUAUGCGACCGGGGAAGAGUUUUCUUUUCUUAUUAAGAAGUGACGGCCUUGGAAUUAGAUUAUCUAGAGAUAAGGCGUCUAGCUUCUAAGAGCACAGCAGGUUUUGCUGUGUCCCGCGCUCUCAUCACAACCCUUGAAAACCAGAGACCACAGUUACCACUGGGCUAAACUGUACCGAUAACCGCAUCAGGUCCCCAAGGUUUGCAGCCUCUGGUCUUGAAACAGUGUAGGUAAGGGAAGUCGGCAAAUUGGAUCUGUACCUUCGGAAGAAGGAUUGGCUCUGAGGAUUGGGUACAACAAGCCAUUGCAAUUAACUUAGGUCUGCUCUCCGUUUAGAAAUUCAUUUUUCUGGACUCUGUAGGGGAACUAUUUUUUGAGUUUUGGUGUAAUUGCUGUACAUUUAACAAUCCUACUCCGAACCUUAAACGGCUAGGGGAAUCCGACUGUUUAAUUAAAACCAAGCAUUGUGAUGGCUGGCGAAUGGUGUUCACACAAUGUGAUUUCUGCCCCGUGCCCUGAAUGUCAAAGUGAAGAAAUUCAACCAAGCGCUGGUAAACGGCGGGAGUAACUAUGACUCUCUUAAGGUAGCCAAAUGCCUCGUCAUCUAAUUAGUGACGCGCAUGAAUGGAUUAACGAGAUUCCCACUGUCCCUAUCUACCAUUCAGUGAAACUACAGCCAAGGGAACGGGCUUGGUAAAAUUAGCGGGGAAAGAAGACCCUGUUGAGCUUGACUUUAGUCAGACAUUGUGAAGUGGCUGGAAAGGUGUAGCAUAGGUGGGAGUUAUGUCUUUGACUUAGCAACAGUGAAAUACCACUACUUUCGGUGUCACUUUACUUAUCUGGUAAAGCGGUAGUGCAUGUUAUAUGUUGUUUUAAUGCAAAAGCUUUGUCCUUACGGACUUAGUGAUCCAAAUCACCAGAGACAUUGCCUGGUGGGGAGUUUGACUGGGGCGGUACAUCUGUCAAACAAUAACGCAGGUGUCCUAAGGUUGACUCAGUGAGGACAGAAACCUCACGUAGAGCAAAAGGGCAAAAGUCAACUUGAUCUUGAUUUUCAGUAUGAAUACGGACUGCGAAAGCAGGGCCUAUCGAUCCUUUUGAUUUUAAGAGUUUUAAACAAGAGGUGCCAGAAAAGUUACCACAGGGAUAACUGGCUUGUGGCAGCCAAGCGUUCAUAGCGACGUUGCUUUUUGAUCCUUCGAUGUCGGCUCUUCCUAUCAUCAUGAAGCAGAAUUCAUGAAGUGUUGGAUUGUUCACCCACUAACAGGGAACGUGAGCUGGGUUUAGACCGUCGUGAGACAGGUUAGUUUUACCCUACUAAUGAAUUUUAUAUCAUUGCGUCAGUAAUUCUACUUAGUACGAGAGGAACAGUAGAUUCAUACCUCUGGUGUCUGCAU